rnacentral:tRNA from 1 species
GGAGAGGUGCCCGAGCGGCCGAAGGGGCACGCCUGGAGAGCGUGUGUACCUACCCGGUACCGAGGGUUCGAAUCCCUCCCUCUCCG